GUGCCAGCAGCCGCGGUAAUACGUAUGUUCCAAGCGUUAUCCGGAUUUAUUGGGCGUAAAGCGAGCGCAGACGGUUAUUUAAGUCUGAAGUGAAAGCCCUCAGCUCAACUGAGGAAUUGCUUUGGAAACUGGAUGACUUGAGUGCAGUAGAGGAAAGUGGAACUCCAUGUGUAGCGGUGAAAUGCGUAGAUAUAUGGAAGAACACCAGUGGCGAAGGCGGCUUUCUGGACUGUAACUGACGUUGAGGCUCGAAAGUGUGGGUAGCAAACAGGAUUAGAUACCCUGGUAGUCCACACCGUAAACGAUGAGUGCUAGGUGUUUGAGGGUUUCCGCCCUUAAGUGCCGCAGCUAACGCAUUAAGCACUCCGCCUGGGGAUACGACCGCAAGGUUGAAACUCAAAGGAUUGACGGGACCCGCACAAGCGGUGGAGCAUGUGG
rnacentral:rRNA from 1 species